rnacentral:lncRNA from 1 species
AGCCAUGCCCGGCCCAGACCCAUACACUUAGAUGACAGAGGGCCUGUACAUGGGCUUGAAAAAACCCGGCCCAGGCCCGCUGUUUGUCAUCCCUACUCUAUAUUGUCUCAUAUAUGCUUAGGCCAUGCUAAGAAAAGCAAUUAUCACUUGGGCUCAUAUUAAAUACUAGUCCUUUGAUUGAUAACUCAGUGUGCACCCAAAAUAGUUGUCUUUCUUCUACACUUCACUAGUUGUGAUGGGUCUAAGCAUCCUUUUGGAAUUACUUUUGGAAAGCUUAAAAGUAAUUUUGAAAAUAUAAAAGUUAAUUAUAUUGUUUAGUAGAAAAAAAAAAUCAAAGUCAUUUUUGUCAAAAUCAACCUCUUCUACAACUAAUUUUGAAAAACAGGAUUAUAUUAUGGUUUUUAUAAUCAAAUUUAUCAUUUAAUCCAAUUCCAUAAAUAUCCUUAAAAUUAUUACCUAAACCCAAAAUUAUCCUUAUUCAAAUUGGAAAUAAAAUCAAUAUUUUAAUAAAUUUUUGUUAUAAUUCAUCAAUAUGUAUUUAUUAAUAUCAAUUUGUUGGUCGAAUUAUUAUUAAAUUUGUUUCACUAUAUUAUAAAUUUAAUUAUCAAUUAUUUUAAGACAAAAAAAUUAAAAUCUAUAUAUAAUAGAUUUUAUUUUUAGUUAAAAUUAUUAUAAUACACAACUAAAAAUAUUGUAUGUACAUGUUUUUAUAUGUAUAAGUAAAUUUUAUCCUACAUUAUGUAUAUUUUAGCCAUUUGUCAGUAAUUUAAUAAUGAAAUUUACCAAACGUCCACAACUGCUUUCAAAACUUACAGUACUUCUAAAAAUAAAAUUUACCAAACACUUAACUGAUUAUUUUUACAGCUGGUUAUUUUUAUAACACAACUAACAACAAUUAUUUUAAAAGUUACGGCAAUUCCAAACUAGCUCAAAAUGGGUCUUGAAUUCGAUUUUCUCAAAAAUACAAUUUUGGUUGCAAAAAAGGCAAAAACCAUAUUCAUGACCUAUAUCAAUGUCUUAUAGCUGAUAUAUUAUUCAUCUUUUAGUAUAUUUAACAUAAAAUUAUAAUAAAAUUCAUACAUGUAUUGGUUUUUACUGCCUUAGAACCAAGGAAUUUCAUAGAUAUAUAUAUAUAUAUAUAUAUAUAUAUAUAUAUAUAUAUAUAUAUAUAUAUAGGAGCCUCGAAACUCAUGGUGGUGCCAAAUUUAGCUCUGAUACCUUAUGUAAGGAUUUUACACAUGGGUUUAUUAACAUUCCAAAAAGUCUAAGAUUGCAUUUUCACCACAAUGCAUGAGUACAAGAUGCACAAGGUCUUACUUAAGCUAUGAAGAUGUGUUUUAUUUACUUGUUUUCAAGAGAUCCAAAAAAAGAAAGAAAUAUUUUUAAUUUUGAGGAAUUACAGCUGCUCAUUCUAGCACGACACAGUGCAAAAGCAGGCCUUAAUAAGCCAACGUUACUUGUAUGUAGGAUGAGAGGCAAGUACCUCCUUUUUUAAAAAGUGUCAAAAGACCUUUGCCAUUGUGAGACAUAAACAACAAACACUAAUGUCAUUAGAGUAGUUUUUUUCUUAAAUAUUGGGUCGUGAAUUGUCGAUGUCGUUUGUUAAAAUGAUACUCUCCUAGUUGAAAACUUGAAAUUGUGGAAUUGAAUUUUGUGUUUUUAUUUUUUUGUUAAAUUGAUGAACUCCUUGGUUAGACUUAGAUUGUAGGAUUGAAUUGUGUGUUUCUAUUUUAAUUAUUAGACAUUGUUUUUGUUUAUUUUUUGUUAUUUAUAAAACUUAGGGUUUUUAUCAUUUUACUACUUCAAAAAUUAUCAAAUAUCAAAUGACUACAACAAGUAUUGUCUCCUAUCAUUUUCCUACUAUAUCUUUAUAAAAAUAUCAUUUUACUACUUUUCCGUUAUAACCGUUAGUUGAUUAAUUAGUUGACUAACAAAAUACCAAUUUCACCCUUUAGGAUUAAAAAAAAUUACUUGAAAUUUAUUUACAAAAUAAAUUUGUAAUAU